rnacentral:rRNA from 1 species
AAGUAAAGCGGACAGAGAGGAGCUUGCUCCGAUGUUAGCGGCGGACGGGUGAGUAAGUGGGUAACCUGCCUGUAAGACUGGGAUAACUCCGAGGAAACCGGAGCUAAUACCGGAUAGUUCCUUGAACCGCAUGGUUCAAGGAUGAAAGACGGUUUCGGCUGUCACUUACAGAUGGACCCGCGGCGCAUUAGCUAGUUGGUGGGGUAAUGGCUCACCAAGGCGACGAUGCGUAGCCGACCUGAGAGGGUGAUCGGCCACACUGGGACUGAGACACGGCCCAGACUCCUACGGGAGGCAGCAGUAGGGAAUCUUCCGCAAUGGACGAAAGUCUGACAGAGCAACGCCGCGUGAGUGAUGAAGGUUUUCGGAUCGUAAAGCUCUGUUGUUAGGGAAGAACAAGUGCGAGAGUAACUGCUCGCACCUUUACGGUACCUAACCAGAAAGCCACGGCUAACUACGUGCCAGCAGCCGCGGUAAUACGUAGGUGGCAAGCGUUGUCCGGAAUUAUUGGGCGUAAAGGGCUCGCAGGCGGUUUCUUAAGUCUGAUGUGAAAGCCCCCGGCUCAACCGGGGAGGGUCAUUGGAAACUGGGAAACUUGAGUGCAGAAGAGGAGAGUGGAAUUCCACGUGUAGCGGUGAAAUGCGUAGAGAUGUGGAGGAACACCAGUGGCGAAGGCGACUCUCUGGUCUGUAACUGACGCUGAGGAGCGAAAGCGUGGGGAGCGAACAGGAUUAGAUACCCUGGUAGUCCACGCCGUAAACGAUGAGUGCUAAGUGUUAGGGGGUUUCCGCCCCUUAGUGCUGCAGCUAACGCAUUAAGCACUCCGCCUGGGGAGUACGGUCGCAAGACUGAAAACUCAAGGAAUUGACGGGGCCCGCACAAGCGGUGGAGCAUGUGGUUAAUUCGAAGCAACGCGAAGAACUUACCAGGUCUUGACAUCCUCUGACAACCUAAAAUAGGCUUUCCUUCGGGA